rnacentral:lncRNA from 1 species
UGAUCUCUCAAAAUCCCAUUUAACUGUCAUAACACCCCCCUCCCCCCCCAAACCAAGAGACCUUCCCCUUUCACCAUCUUCAUCACCUCUCUGAGCUUCCGCCAACAGGCGCUGCCGGAAAUCACCCACAGCGGCAGCCAGUCACGAAAUCACCCCAAUCUUUACCACAUAGUCCCCACACCUCCCUCCUCACUAGUAUCUCACUAAUUUUUCCAAAAUCCCCACCCAUCUUCUCCAAUUUCGGAUAUAAGAAAGUCAGAAAAAACCUAAAUUUGAUUUUUAUGGAAAUUUCAAGAACGUUUUGGGUCAAACUUACAUCUUACAUGAGUUGAUUGCUCUUGACACGAGCAAUCGAUUCAUGAUAGUUUGGUUCAUUUUGAAAGUCACCGGAUGGUAUUCCCAUGGCAAUGACCGCCAAAGUUUCAUCGCCUUCAUCGUUCGUCGAUAUUCAUUUCUGGACAAAAUCAGUAUACCCCUCCUCUCUUGUUCCUUUGUUUCUUUUUCUUUUUCUGUUUUGAAAUUAUCAGUUAAUGUUUUAAUUUCUUAUUUAUUUUGUUUAAUUGAUUCCAUUGUCUAGCUAAUUGCGGGAUCGUUACUUUAAUCGCAUAUGUUUAGGCUAAUCAAAUUAGUUCGGUGAUUUAGUUAGGUUUAACUAGUAGUUUUGUUUCUGUUCUGUUUGGUCUUUGAUUUGGUUUUAAUUGUUUGUUUGUUAAUGUUGAGUAUCAAUUGGAAUUAAAUGGUUGAAAGAGUAAUAAUAGAAACUUUAAGGGAGUUAAUUGGAAGCUAAAAUCAAGAAAUCUAAGGCAGUAAUACAUAAAAUUGCUAAAUGAGGGAUUAAAGUGCAAUAAAUUAAUUAAGUUAAAUCAGAUUUUUGGAAAAAAAGUUGAAUUUUCAGAAGUUUAAAAGAGUUAAAAUGAAAAGAAACUUCUAGAAAGGGACAGCUGUCCCAAUAUUGUUUAGAUAAGAUGCAAAAUUUAAGUACAUCUAUCCGUACAAAAGAUGUCAUUUACCUGAAUUUAAGGAAAGCUGGCAGAUUCUUUUGUACCUGAUUUUAUUCCAUCAUAAGGUUUUCACAUAUUCUAUAUAAGGAGGGCACUUGCUGAAUUUUCGGACAGACUUGACACACGAUUUACACAAGAAAAACCCUGAGAAAUUCAGAGAUUGGUUUCUCCAUUUUCAUUGUGAGUCUUUUAUUCUUCUGGGUUUGAAAGCUAGAAAGAGAAAACAGAAAACAAAGAAAAAUAGAGAUUUUCGGACUGCUUUUCUUCUCCAUAUUUUACUGGUUUUCUCCAUGUUGCUGGGAUUUUUGGAUUGAGGUGUGAAGCUGUUGUAUUGGAUUUUCUGAUGCUGUAUUUUUGCUGUUGCUUCUUCCCAGUUUUCAGAGAUCUAUUUUCUUUUUUAUUGUCUAUUCUGCUGAUAAAGGUACACAUCUAUGAACUCACAUGUUUGAAUUGGGCAUAAUCAAGUGUUCUUCUGUGAUUUUUCAGGCAUUUAUGGUGUCUUUAGUGAUGUGGUGUUUUAGAUUUCACGUGAAAGGUUGUAAAUGUUUAAGUGAAUGAAAUUGAAAUCUGCUUGACCUUAUUAUUUUAUUAUUGCCCUUCAACUUCUCUAAAGCAUAUGCUAUCUCUGUUAGGUCAUGUUCUAAUAUCCCAGACUAUUUUGAGCAUGAAUUCUAGUUCAAAUAUGUUCCUAAUGUUGUACUAAGUAAUGUUGGUAGUAAAAUCGUGACAGGAAAAGGUUAUUGCUGCAAUAAACAUGGUUGUAAUUUAUAGAGGUGACUACUAAGUUGGCUAAAUCGGUGAAGCCAAACUCGGCCAUCAGAGGUGUUUGAAAUCAUUGCAUAUUUUUCUCGAUUGAAUUUUUUUGAUGUUUGGGACUGUAAUAUGAAACUUUGACAUGUAAUUGUAAUUGAAAUGAUUUAUGAAGUUAAAUGUUAGAGUAAAGAUUUGAUUGCAAAGUACAAAUGCAAUGGCAAUGACUCCAGUCGAUUAUUUUUCUGUUGUAUGUUAAAAAAAAUGUUCAACAAUUAGUGUUAGAAAUGUUAAUAAUUGUGCAGUCUGGCCUAAUUAUGGGCCUGAAAUUCAAAAGGACCUAGAGCCCAAUAUUGAGGCUCACUUUCUCAAGACAGCUCAUUUCGUUGUUGGGCUCAAUGGGAAUCCCAAGCACCUCAUAGUUUGGGGCUUAAUUUGCGUGAAGCACGACUGGGCCCAGGAAUCAGCACAUUCAAGGACCAUAAUGAGUUUAUGCUCACCUAAAAAUCGGAUAAUUGACUAAAUAAGCGAACCUCUUUAAUAUUAACUUGUUGCAACCAAUGUUUAGCCUAUCUAAUUGUGUUCCACAUUUGUUUAUCUCGUGACAGUCCAAAUACAUGAGCUUUAACCGAAUUCUCAUUCGGGAACCAAAAACAGAAUCACAGCAAGCUUUUGAAAUAAUUCAAGCGUACUUCAUCAUGUAGGCCAAAUCAAUUGUGGACUCCAACAGUUCUUCACCAUAUCAUGUGACCUCCAAUAAUCUCAAAUAGGUUUAGGGAAAUUAAUUCAACUGUGAACUUUCCUAGAAUGACUAAUUUACUAUCGUGGUUAUGUACACGUUCGCGUGACAUAAUUACGAUUUCUAAAAUUAAAUCAAGGUUGCGCGACCAAAUAAUUAUAAAUUAAUAAAGCGUAAUUAAUUGUGUAUACGUACGCGUGAUAUGGUUUUAGCACCCCAAAUAAAGCGGACUUACACACAUGUAGUCCGUUUCAAAGAUUAAAUCCAUAAACGUCAUAAUUUAAAAGCGGUAAAAGGUUAAAUACACAUAGGUUCUCAAAUAUGUAAUUAAACAAUUUAAUUAGUCCAGAUAUGAUUAAAGCGGUCGUGCUAAAAUCACGGAAUCCGGGAGUGCCUAACAUCUUCUCCCGGGUUAACAAAAUUCCUUACCCGAUUUUCUGGUUUCGCGAACUUUUAAAACAGAGUCAAAAUUUCCUCGAUUUGGGAUUUAAAAUAAACCGGUGACUUGGAAUUCCAUAUAAUUAUCCCAAAUGGAGACUCUAAAUCAAAUAAAUAAUCUCAUUUCGAUUAAUGUCACUUUAAUUGGAAAAACUCCUUAUCCCUCGAGAAAAAGGAGGCGUGACAAGCUGCACCUGGACUUGGCCUUCUAAUGUCAGCUCAAGGAUCAGACACACUACAAGCCUUAUGUGACUCAGAUUGGGGAGGAUGUUUACAAACUAGGAGGUCUGUUACUGGCUAUCUAGUGAAGUUUGGCAAUGCUAUAGUGUCCUGGAAAUCCAAGAAGCAAGACACUAUUGCUAAAAGUUGAAGCAGAAUUUAGAAGCAUGACUUCAACUGUUGCAGAAAUAACCUGGCUAACUGGUUUGUAUAAAGAAAUAGGAGUAACUGUGCAAUAGCCUAUAGAUCUCUAAUGUGAUAGCAAAGCAGCCAUUUAGAUUGCAGUCAAUCCUAUAUUCCAUGAAAGGACAAAUCGACAUUGACUGUCAUUUUGUCUGGGAGAAAAUAGUUCAAGGAAUUUUAAACACAUCAUGUGUCUACCAAAGAGCAGCAGGCUGAUCUUCUGACUAAAAGCUUAGGGAAACUACAACAUGACUAUCUUGUAUCCAAGCUGGGGUUGAAAAACAAAUUUCAACCAUCAGCUUGAGGGAGGGUAUUGAAGAGUAAAGUUGUCAGUUAGGAAGUUAGUAGUCAGUUAGUUAGUUAGUAGUGACAGUAAGUUAUAGUAGUAGCAGCAAUUAGUGAAUAGUUGUAUAUGUAUGAGCUAUGUGGUGUAUUUGUAGUAAGAUCAAUUCAAUGAAAAAAUAGCUCAUUUUCUUCUGCUCAUCACUCUCUCUGUUCUCCUUCAUAUUCUUCAAUUGAUCCAUGAGAACUUGCUCUAGAUUUGAUCACAGUUUAUAUAUGAAAAUAAAUAUGGUUCUAAAGUAGUUUAAAAUUUGAUUAGCUAUAAUUUAAAUGUUUCUUGGCUAUACUGCAGUUAAUCUCAACUAUAAGUUUUUUUUUUUUUUUGCAGAAAAUCUAUAGUUUUAUCUUGUUUAUAUGAGAUAAUUCGAAGGUCGGGUGGCUUUCUUUUUUAAAAUGUUGAACACUCUUAACAAACAGUUGGGUUCAUCUUUCAUCUUUGGGUCAUAUAUAUUCUGAUGAUGUUAUUCCUAUCAUUUAUGCAUCCUACUUAAGUUGUAGUUCUAUCACGAAAAAUUAUCAUAUUACUAUACUAUAUUAUUGCCAAAUAUAAAAGAAAAUCUAAGACAAGAAAAAAUAAAGCGCAGAAAUCAAUUAAAUUCUAAUCAUCUCCAAAGUAUAACAAUUUCGUAAAAUAUAUUUCAGUUCAAUAACAAAUUGUAUAAGUAGAUGUAGCAGUAAGUGAACUUACAAUCAAUUGCGAGAGGCAAAUUAAGUAAACCAAGGAAUUAGCCGGACGAUCUAGAAUAGAUAGAUGGAUGGAAUAGUAGCUAGCAGUGUUAAGUCUCGAGAUACCAAACACAGUAUUAUCGCCAUGUCUCAAAAUACGAAUCCAUUCAAUAACUUAAAUCUCUUCAACCGCUAAAUGAAGUAAUGGCUAACACUCUCAAAUAUUCAAUAAACGAUUUCUGAGGAACAAUCUUAAGAAAUUUAGAUACUAAAAACCAAUUCUAUGUAAAAAAUAUCAGAAAACAUAUGUAUCAUCCUAUCCAUCAUAGAAUUGUCCGGCCAAUAAGUUUGGUGACACAUAAGAGGCCAAAGCAACGUUAGAAGCAGGGGCUCUUCAAACAGAGUGUAAAAGGUUUAUUUCUUUUGGUAGAUGGAGUACCCGGGCAUUCUCUUAUCUUCCCAUUCCUCUAGGCUUCUAUUUAUAGUCUGAAGGUUUGUGACCUUUAACAUUGUGUAUGAAGCGUUGUGCUAGUUUGUAGGCGUUUGGUUUUUGUUAAUUAGGUAAUUAGGUUUUAAUAAGUCAAUAGGGUAUUUAAGUACAUAACAAUGAUAACUAGGAUAUUGUAGUAAUUUAACUUUUAAGUUGGACGUUUCCUGUUCUUAAUAUAUUAAUUAAUUAAUAAUAAUAAUAGUAACAAUUAUUAUCAUUAUUAAUAUAGGAUCAGCUAUCUUAGUUCAAAGAUUGUGAAAACUAGAAUUGAAGUGUAGAUCAAAGAAAAACAAUCUAGGGCUUGAGAGCUUUUGAGAACGUUCUGGAGUAAGACAUUUCUUCUAUUAGUCAAAAUGGCAAAAGCUGUAAAAUGAGCAUCAAGUCACCUAUUUAUACAAUGGGCCAAAGUGAAAAAUAAAACUAAACUAACAGACCACUUUUAGGCCCAAAUACAAAAUACACAUAAAUAAUCUACACAAGCCCAAUACUAAUUGUGUUCACUAUGUCACUCCAACAUCCUCCUCAAGUUGGCGGGUGAGCCACUUUUAGGCCCAAAUACAAAAAUACACAUAAAUAAUCAUCACAAGCCUAAUACUAAUUGUGUUCACUAUGUCACUCCAACAUCCCCCUCAAGUUGGAGGGUGAGCAAUUGCCCAACUUGCCAGCUAAAGAAUGAUGAGGAACACCUGUCAAACACUUGGUAAAGAUGUCAGCUAAUUGCAAAGCAGUAGGAAUGUGAGACAGAGAUUAAUCCAUCAGCUCGCUUAGUGCGUAUAAAAUGGCAGUCAACCUCUAUGUGCUUCGUUCUUUCAUGAAAAACUGGAUUGCUUGCUAUAUGAUUGCAGCUUGAUUGUCACAAAAAACUGGAAUAGGUGCAGAGAAUAUCAAACCCAAAUCUGAUAGCAAACGAACCAACCAAGACAAUUCAGCAACAACCUUACUCAGGGCACGAUAUUCAGCCUCCGCGGAUGAUAAGGAAACUACAUGUUGUUAUUUGGACUUCCAACUAAUCAGACUACCACCCAAGGUGACACAAAAACAACUAACUGAACGUCGUGAAUCCGGGCAUGUAGCCCAAUCACUGUCACAAUAACCAACUAAAGAAAAGUCAGCAGAGUUAUUCAAGAAAAGUCCAGCUUCAGAAGUCCCUUUUAGGUAUCACAGAACAUGUAGAGCUGCAGUCAUGUGGGGGACUCUAGGAGAUUGAAGGAAUUGACUAAGAUGUUGAACAGCAAAGCAAAGGUCUGGACGAUUGUGUGUAAGAAAAUUAAGUUUCCCAAUAAGACUCCUAUAUGUAUCAGGCUUAGGUAAAAGCUCUCCAACAUUAGACUUCAGUUUGACAGUUAAAUCCAAAGGACAUAUAACAGAAGAAGCUUCAGAACAACUAAAUUCAUCCAAAAGCUCAGAAAUGAACUUUUUUUGGUGCAACAGAACACCAGACUGAUAAUAAUGAAUCUGUAUUCCCAAAAAAUAGUUAAGAAGCCCUAGAUCCUUUAUUCAGAAUUGCUCAUCCAAAAAGUCUUUUAAUGUUGAAAUUUUGGUCAAAUCAUUACUAGUUAAGAUGAUAUCAUCUACAUACACAGCAAGAAAAACAAUAGAGUUCUCUGAUCGUCUCACAAACAAAGAAUAAUCAUUUAAAGAAUAGGUAUAACCUCUGGAACAAAGUGCUUGGGACAACUUGGCAUACUAUUGUCUAGAGGCUUGUCGAAACCAUAAAAUGAUUUGUUUAAUUUGCAUACCAGAUGAGGAAUAGAAAUGGUAGCUGCAGCAGAGGAAGAGACAACAGACAACCCUUGGGGAAGUUUCAUAUACACUUCUUCAUUCAAAUCACCAUGCAAAAAGGCAUUGUUAACAUCUAGUUGAAAAAGAGACCAUGAUUAUUUAACUACAUAAGUAAUGAGACAUCUAAUAGUGCACAUUUUUACUAUAGGGGAGAAGGUCUCAUGAAAAUCAAUGGCUUCUACCUGUGUAUCCCCCCUCACAACUAGCCUCAUUUUGCAUCUUUCUACACUCUCAUCAGCCUUAUAUUUGAUCUUAUACACCCACUUGCAACCAAUUGCUUUCUUCCCCUUUGGUAGCUCAGCAAUUUCCCAAGUCUUAUUUGCUUCCAAUGCCUUAAACUCCUUCCUCAUGGCUUCCUGCCAAGAUGGACUAGUAGCAGCCUGAGUAUAUGAGUGGGGCUCAACUGCAACAGUUGAUGCAACAGAAGUGGAGGUAGCAGAAGAACAAGAAAUAGAUGGAGGAAGCUAAACCACGUAAUCUUGAAGGUGGGAAGGAAGCUGACGAGAUCUAGUGGAUCUCCUUAGCUCAGGGAGAGGAGCAGCAGGGGAAGGAACUGGUUCGGAUGGGACAGAAAUAAGGAAGGAUGGAGGAUCAGAUCCAGAAUAUAACAAGGAAGAAUUGAAAGAAGUAGGGGAAACAGAGGAAAUAGGAGUGGAAGAAGGGAAAGAGUCCAUAGUCUCAUUGAAAAUAGUGGAAGGAAUAAGAGAUGGAGAGGUAAGAGAGGGAGAGGAAUUAAGAUGAAGAGGGAAAAUAGACUCAUGAAAAAUGACAUCCCUAGAGACAAAAACAGAUUUGGUGUGCAAGUUAUAAAGCUUAUACCCCUUCUUGCCAAAAGGAUAACCAAUAAAAACAGAAGGAACAUCCCUUGGUUGGAAUUUAUGUCUAUGACAUUUAGGCACGAUUGCAUAACAUAGACAUCCAAAAGGUUUUAAGUGAAUGUAAGAAGGAACGGUACCAUAUAACAUUUCAAAUGGUGUCUUAUUGGAUAGGACAGAAGAGGGAAACCUAUUUAAAAGAUACGUAGCCGUUAACACACAAUCCCCCCCAAAACUUUGGUGGAAGUUUGGAUUGAAAUAAUAAAGCUCUAGAUGUUUCCAAUAAAUAUUUGUGUUUUCUUUCAACACCACCAUUUUAUUGAGGUGUGUGAACACAAGUUGUUUGGUGUAAGAUUCCAUUGUCAGAAAAAAAUUGGCAAGAGUUAGAAGAACCAUGUUCCAGGGCAUUGUCACUUCUAAUUGUCUGGACAUGAAGGUUAAAUUGUAUCUUAACCAUUGCAAGGAAUGCUUUAAGAAGAGUAAAAGCAUUGCUCUUAGAAAAUAUUAAAUGUGUCCUAGUAGCUCUACAAUAGUUAAGAAAUAUCUAGCACCAGAAUAAGUUUGGGUAUGAUAAGGUCCCCAUGUAUCAAUAUGAAUAAGCUGAAAUAAAGAAGUAGAAAGAGAUGUGCCAUCUGGGAAGCGCAAUCUAGCUUGUCUAGCUAAAGUAUAGAUAGGACAAGUAAACGACUAUUUGGGAGACAAAUCAGAAGAUAUAGAAGAUAUACACUUCAUCUUCACAAAAGGCAUGUGACCCAUUCUGUGAUGCCAAAGUACAUCAAGUUUAUUCAAAGAAGCAGAAGAAGAAAACAUAGUGUCAUUCACUUGUUGUACAGUUUCAGUUAAAGAAGGAAUAGGAAAAACAUUCACACUGCUUACAACAAUAUUCAAGGCUGAACUAGGGACAUUAUCCAAACUUUUCACGGCAUUGUUCAAAGCAGAAGUAGAAAUUUGUAUCACAUUGUUUAAGGCAGAAUUAGAAGGGAAAUGAUAAAGCUUAUACAAUCCUUGGUCCAAUCUACCAAGUACCAGAAGCUUCUUCCUCGAAAGGUCCUUUAUCAAAUAGGAAGAAGUGAAAAGGACUAUACUGUUAAAUUGUUGAAUUAACCUGUAUACAGAAAUGAGGUUGUAUUUGAAAGUAGGAAUGUAAAGUACUUUGUGUAGAGUGAAAGUAGAAGAUAAAGUGAGUGAUCCUAUAUAAGCAACCUUCACUUUAUAUCCAUUAGGCAAAGUAACCAAGUAAGGGACAGAAAGAGGUGAUAUCAAUUAGAAGUUCUUUAUCAGGGGUCAUGUGGUAAGUCGCUCCCGAGUCUACUAUCCAAACACUUUUUGCCACACUGGUCAACAUGCAUGCAGAAUAAGCAACAUGAUUAAACUUAGGCAAAGGGAGAUUACUACCAACAAAGUUGGCAAAACCCAUAAGAUUGGGCUGAGUGGUGGAAGCAAGAAGAUUGGACUGUUGCAGCAGAUUCAUGAGCUGGGAGUAUUGUUCCUUAGUAAGACCAGGCACCAAAGAAUCCGGACUAGUGGAAGCACAUGGUGGACCAAAUUCAGGAUUCUCGGAAGAUGAAGACUCAGCAUUUGCAGCAGUACCAAAUUUUCUGCCCUUAGUAAACUUGAAAUGUUGAGAAAAUCCAUUCAAUUUGUAGCAUUUGUCAAUAGUAUGUCCACUCUUCUUACAGUAUUUACAAAAAAGAGAACCCUUGUUCUGUUCAAAAUUCACCCUCUGAUUAUUUGUAUCAAAAUUAACCUUCUAAUUGAAUUGUCUUUGUAGAGGAAAUUUAGUGGUUGCAUUGACAUUAAAGGAAGCCAGAUCAGGAGAAAAUUGAGUAUUAGGAAUCACUUGUCUUUGCUUUUCAUCUUGCAGAAGAAUGUUGUAUACACUAUUCAAGUGAAGGAAGUGGAUUCAUCAUCAGUAUAUUACUUCUUACAGUGACGUAUAUUUCAUUGAGACCCAUUAAAAACUGGUGGACUUUGUUCUCUUCAUCUUCCUUUAGGGAACCAUGUUUUGCAGCACAAGUACAAUUCUUAGCAUGAUCUGAUCCCAUGAUCUCCAGUUCAUCCCAAAGUUUUUUUAAUUUGUUAAAGUAUGAGGCUAUGUCAAGAGGGGUCUGGCAUGUGGAAGCCAAUUCUUUCUUUAUUUCAAAUUUUUUUGUCCCAUUAACCGUCCCAUAUCUAUUAUUUAACUGCUUCCAUGUACUUUCGGCGGUGUCAGAAUACUGUACACUCUCAGCAAUUUCAGGAGAAAGAGAACUGGUUAGCCAGGAAAUAACCAUAUUGUUACACCUAUCCCAUUGUUUGAACUAGGGAGAUCUUUCAGCUGGUUUAGGACAUGUACCAUCAAUGAAUCCUAUUUUAUUUUUGGAUGACAACGAUACAAUUAUGCUCCUUCUCCAUCCACCAAAACCAGACCCAGCAAAAGGAACAUUAACAAGUGACAUUCCAGGAACGUCGGAGGAGUGAAUGAAUAGAGGACUAGAAGAAUGAGGAGUAAAAUCAGAAUCACUAUCACUAGAGCUUCCCAUUUUUAGAGUAAAAUGAAACAGGAAAACUACUAACCCAGAAUACCAAAACAAUUAUCCGAAAAUCGGCAUCUACAUGAAUCAAAUCUACACAUGCAAAUACUAACAAUAGAAGAGCAAGUUUUUCAGAAUAACUCAGUCCGCAGUCAUAGAAGAAUAUGAAGAGUGUGAUAGUUUACCACCCUUCUUCGUAACCGAAAGACGCACAACCUUCAAUUAUCAAAAAAUCACAGCAACAGAUGAAGAGAAAUACCACCAAAACGCUGAUUGAGUGGAGAAAAGUGAAUGAGAACUCUGAAUCCCAUAAGAAAAAAAAUACCGGUGAACGACGAGCAGAGAAACCGACGAAACUCAGAAACUUCGGCGAAAUAGGUCGAGGGUACCACCGCUCGAAAGAUGAUGGUGAGAUAUCUCAAAAUCCUCACUCUGAUACCAUGUGAAAACUCGAAUUGAAGUGUAGAUCGAAGAAAAACAAUCUAGGGCUUGAGAGCUUUUGAGAACGUUCUGGAGUAAGACAUUUCUUCUAUUAGCCAAAAUGGCAAAAGUUGUAAAAUGAGCUUCAAGUCACCUACUUAUACAAUGGGCCAAAGUGAAAAAUAAAGGAAAUUUUGCAGAAAGCACCAUCUUUUAGUCCUAAUUAGUCAUUUAUAAAUACCUUUUGCUAUAUUACGCUCUAUAGAUAUCUUUUAUGUUUUUAUACAAUGUAUUUCAUGUAUUUAAACGGUUGUAUUCAUUAAUACAAGAAAAAAAAUAGGCAUAAAAACGGGAAAUCCAGCUAAGUGUUAUCUGUAUUUAACUGUAUUCAAGCGAAAUUUCAGCUGUAUUUAACUGUAUUCAAGCAAAAUUUCAGUGAAAUACAGUAACUUUUUUGCGCAAAUUAUGGGAACUUAAACUUGUUAAAAACGGAAGAAAAUCAAAUCACAUGAUAGUCUCCUAAUUUAACUCAAAGAACUAAAACGAGUACACACUAAUUUGUAUUUUGCUCAAAGAAAGCAACUCAAAAACGUGAAAAGAAGGAAAAACCAGAGCAACACAUCUGAUCGAACUUCUCAAUUCUCUUCUCCUUUUUUUCUAUUGAAUACAGCUUNNNNNNNNNNNNNNNNNNNNNNNNNNNNNNNNNNAUUUAGGGUGGGAGAAGAUUUAUGAAACGUAGGUUUGUGGGAGAAGAGGUUAAAGUAUAUGGAAGAAGAGAGAGAAAAGCUGGUAAGAGGAGAUAUACGCUAAUUAGGUGAGAGAAAAUAUAAAAAAUGAGAGAAAAAUAUUUUGUAGCAUAUAUGGUGCCUUAAUUGUAGGAUGGAACUAUAUUUAGAUUUUUUGCUAUAAACUAUAAAAGGUAUUUAUAGGAUGUAAUAUUUUAAAAUGGUAUUUAUUUAAUAUAAAUAGGGUACUAACCUAUUCUAUAGGUGGUAAACUAACAGACCACUUUUAGGCCCAAAUACAAAAAUACACAUAAAUAAGGGGCAUUUGCAUCUAUACCCGCUUUUUGGGUCACGUUUUAACUUGUGUCCGCUUUACAAAAAUAAUUGCAAGCGUACCCACUUUUUCGCGUAACUUCAGCAUACGAGGCUGAAGUAGCAAAGACAACCACGCAAAACUCCAGCAUUCUAGUAGACGGGACUGAAGUAGUAAGUGUGCUGAAGUUUUUAUUUGUAAUUGUUGAACUUAAGCAUAGUAGCUGAAAUUUUGUUCUCUAUUUGCUGAAGUUUUUGUUUGUAAUUGCUGAAAUUUUUAUUUUUGCAACUGGCGAACUUCAGCUCUAGAGCUGAUGUUUUUGUUUUUGUAACUGGCAAACUUCAGCUCUAGCGCUGAUGUUUUUGUUUUGUAACUGGCGAACGUGAAGUUUUUGUUUUGUAACUGGCGAACUUCAGCUCUAGAGCUCUAGGGGGCAUUUCGCGUCUCCUUUUGUUUAUCCUCAACUCUGCUUAUAUUCCCUACUGUCUGUUUCAUAAAUUUUAUGCUGGCAUGUUGUUUUGGUCCAGUUGGGUAACUAGUCCUCCCACUAUUGAGAAUUCCAUCUCAGUGAUAUUCCAGUAGUCCAUGCUCUUGGUUGUUCAUCUAAUGAUGCAGGAAUUGCAUCUGAUGUCUCUGUUCAGGUAUGUGAUGCAAAGAAAGACUUUCAAAGAGUAGGAAUUGAUAACUUGUAAACAAAACAAGAGAAGGUAACAUUUAAGAGUACACCAAGACAGAGAACUUGCCCCCUUGUUUGACGAAAUUCACCUUCCCGCCUAGUUUCAUGAACCUUACUUCUAGAAAAAAAAAA